rnacentral:rRNA from 1 species
ACGGAGGAUCCAAGCGUUAUCCGGAUUUACUGGGUUUAAAGGGUGCGUAGGCGGAUUGAUAAGUCAGUGGUGAAAGCCUACAGCUUAACUGUAGAACUGCCAUUGAUACUGCCAGUCUGGAGUAUGGUUGAGGUAGCUGGAAUGUGACAUGUAGCGGUGAAAUGCUUAGAGCUGACGCGGAGCACCGAUGGCGAAGGCAGCUAACCAGGACAUUACUGACAGUGAGGCACGAAAGCGUGGGGAUCAAACAG